ACGGGGAGCACCACAACGGGUGGAGCCUGCGGUUUAAUUGGACUCAACGCCGGGAAACUCACCAGAUAAGACAGCUGAAUGAUAGUCGGGCUGAAGACUCUACUUGACUAGCUGAGAGGAGGUGCAUGGCCGUCGUCAGUUCGUACUGUGAAGCAUCCUGUUAAGUCAGGCAACGAGCGAGACCCACGCCAACAGUUGCCAGCUCGUCCUCCGGGAUGGUGGGGACACUGUUGGGACCGCCUCUGCUAAAGAGGAGGAAGGAAUGGGCAACGGUAGGUCAGCAUGCCCCGAAUUAUCUGGGCUACACGCGGGCUACAAUGGGUGGGACAAUGGGUAUCGACACCGAAAGGUGAAGGCAAUCUCUUAAACCCAUCCGUAGUUCGGAUUGUGGGCUGCAACUCGCCCACAUGAAGCUGGAAUCUGUAGUAAUCGUGUCUCAAAAUGGCACGGUGAAUAUGUCCCUGCUCCUU
rnacentral:rRNA from 1 species